rnacentral:rRNA from 1 species
AUGACCAAUAGCGAAUACGAGUAUGUGAAGAGGGAAUUCGAGUUCGACCGUCACCUCCCAGCCUCCAACUGGAUCAUUGUGCGCUUCGAUGGCUGUCAUUUCCACCGUGGACAGGCCCGAUUUGGAGCGAUUCUAGUUGAUUUCGGUGGGCCGACGCGAGCUCCGCGCGUGCUCCUUGGGAGGGACGGUGACAUGCUGCUGCCGUCGCGGCUGUUCAUCGAUGGGAGGUACGUAGGCGUCGCCGACAAGGUGGUGGCGCUGCACGAGCAGUCGCGGCUCCGGUCGAUGCUCCACCGCGCAGCCGGACGCGGGCGAGGCGGCCUGCGAGGUGCGCGGCGGCGCCUGAUUCGUCGUGUGCGGAGGCAGACUGUGCGGUGUGCGGCGGCAAGGAUUCAGGGAGAUGCGGGUGAAAGGAAGAAGAAGAAGACCACGGGGAAUAUUCGGUUUUACGGUAAAUUUUUGUGGGAUCUGUUCCAAUGUAGCCUGCACGGUACCGCAAAACAGGCACAACAAGCAUUGAAGGGAACAUUUCCUAAGGACAAAAACGAGUUGCUUUCACAACAGUUCCAAAUCAUCCAUGAUGAUGAACCAGCUAUGUUCUGA